rnacentral:rRNA from 1 species
GACGAACGCUGGCGGCGUGCCUAAUACAUGCAAGUCGAGCGAAGUUUUUCUGGUGCUUGCACUAGAAAAACUUAGCGGCGAACGGGUGAGUAACACGUAAAGAACCUGCCUCAUAGACUGGGACAACUAUUGGAAACGAUAGCUAAUACCGGAUAACAGUAUUUCUCGCAUGAGAGAUAUUUAAAAGUUGGUUAUGCUAACACUAUGAGAUGGCUUUGCGGUGCAUUAGCUAGUUGGUGGGGUAAAGGCCCACCAAGGCGACGAUGCAUAGCCGACCUGAGAGGGUGAUCGGCCACACUGGGACUGAGACGCGGCCCAGACUCCUACGGGAGGCAGCAGUAGGGAAUCUUCCGCAAUGGGCGAAAGCCUGACGGAGCAACGCCGCGUGAGUGAAGAAGGAUUUCGGUUCGUAAAGCUCUGUUGUUAGGGAAGAAUGGAUAUGUAGUAACUAUACAUGUAAGAGACGGUACCUAACCAGAAAGCCACGGCUAACUACGUG